rnacentral:rRNA from 1 species
GAUGAACGCUGGCGGCGUGCCUAAUACAUGCAAGUCGAGCGAACGGACGAGAAGCUUGCUUCUCUGAUGUUAGCGGCGGACGGGUGAGUAACACGUGGAUAACCUACCUAUAAUACUGGGAUAACUUCGGGAAACCGGAUCUAAUACCGGAUGAUAUUUUGAACCGCAUUGUUCAAAAGUGAACGACGGUCUUGCUGUCACUUAUAGAUGGAUCCGCGCUGCAUUAGCUAGUUGGUAAGGUAACGGCUUACCAAGGCAACGAUGCAUAGCCGACCUGAUAGGGGGAUCGGCCACACUGGAACGGAGACACGGUCCAGACUCCUACGGGAGGCAGCAGUAGGGAAUCUUCCGAAAUGGGCGAAAGCCUGACGGAGCAAAGCCGCGUGAGUGAUGAAGGUCUUCGGAUCGUAAAACUCUGUUAUUAGGGAAGAACAUAUGUGUAAGUAACUGUGCACAUCUUGACGGUACCUAAUCAGAAAGCCACGGCUAACUACGUG